rnacentral:rRNA from 1 species
GUAAAGCACUUUCAGUUGUGAGGAAAAGUUAGUAGUUAAUACCUGCUAGCCGUGACGUUAACAACAGAAGAAGCACCGGCUAACUCCGUGCCAGCAGCCGCGGUAAUACGGAGGGUGCGAGCGUUAAUCGGAAUUACUGGGCGUAAAGCGCACGCAGGCGGUUUGUUAAGCUAGAUGUGAAAGCCCCGGGCUCAACCUGGGAUGGUCAUUUAGAACUGGCAGACUAGAGUCUUGGAGAGGGGAGUGGAAUUCCAGGUGUAGCGGUGAAAUGCGUAGAUAUCUGGAGGAACAUCAGUGGCGAA